CUUCAACUAUUUCCAAAGGCUGAGGAGGAAAUUGAUCGGGUUUCUCGUGUGUAUUGUUGUAUUGCACGCCCAUGGUAGACAACGAAAGCUUUGUCACACUACCACCAGGGUUGUAAAUCUACCCCCUAUGGAAGUCCCCACACAACUCCUACGAAAGCCUGGUCAAAUGUGUGUGUGCUUGGGCGACUACGUGUUUAAGAAUAUGGCCCAAUAACAAUCUCAUGAGUGGGCUGUUCUGUUUCACUUCCAUGGUAGACUACAGAUGCUUUGUCACACUACCAUUGCUAUCAUAAAACUACCCCCUUCGGAAGCACCUCACAACUCCUACGAAAGCCUGGUCUCAUCUACGUGCUUGGGCCCUGAAAUGUUUUAAAAAUAUGGCCCUUUCGCAUUGUCUUUCACGACCCUCUUGCUCUUCCUGUCUUAUCCACUCUCGCCCUCAACUUCCAAACACUGCCCUACGUAUACGACCCAUGGAAGUCCUCACAACUCCUACGAAAGUCUUGCCUCAAAUGUGUGAGCCUGGGCCCCGAAAGGUUUUAAGAGUAUGGACCUAUAGCAUCAUCUACAUUACUACUGCCCUUCCUUGUCCACUCUCGCCCUCCGCUACCUUACAUUACCCUUCGUAUAUGACCACCGAUCUCCAUGCCACCUUGUACUAAUCUCACCCAGCACAUAGUAUUGUUAGUGUAGUUAGUAUUAUUGUAUAGGCUUCACGUAUGCAUAAUCUGGCUCUCUCUGCCCUCCCUUCCUUCCUUCCUUGUCUUGUCCACUCUCGCCCUCAGCUUCCAAACACUGCCCUCCCUAUACGACCCCCGAUCUCCACGUCCCUUGUAUACUACUAAUCUCAAUCUGCAUAUAUGGCUAUUAGUAUUGUUGUGUAGGCUUCAGGUACACAUGUUAUGCCUCUCGUCCCAUCAUCCUUGAGUCACGAAGUCCUCCCUCUCUCAUUCACACUGUCUAAGUACGAUGAUCCGAUUACUUAUGAAUGCAUCUUAACUUUUUUUUCUGGUAUCUCCUUCCCUCUCUCACCAUGGUUAAUAUGUGACGAGUCUGUGUUGUUCCCUUGUGGCUACGCUUGGCGGCGGGCUGUAAAGAGGCGUCUAGGCUAAUCUUAGGCCCGUCCAAGAUUAACCUUUUGUUCAGCAACUUUUAAGGCCCGUGUGAGUGGCGUCGCGAUGAUUGCACGCGCGCAUUUUCCCGCCGUUGCUCGCUCGCUCGCGCCCUGUUCCGGCAGCCACCUCUUCUUCACUGCAUGUCGCUGUCGGAGGCUCGCGCGAAGGAGGAACUUUCGCCCACAUCAUCACUAGCUCUCCCCCAUUCCCUUGCAUCAGUUCCAAGAAUGUCAGUCAGCCGAACUCUGUCUCUCUCCCAACGAGCUUUCCAUGAACUUUUCUUACGGGUUAAUGGCUACUACAUCCAAUAUAUUUUUUGUGUGUAUAAAAGAUCGAGUGCAUGGUAUGAGUUGAUAUAUUGGUGCAGGUUUAUUGCAGGUAUGGUAUUUAAGAGGUUUAGAUAUGGUAACUAAUGGUGGUUUAAAGAGGGUAGGGUCUAUGUGGGUUCAGGUUAUAGCUAGUGGUAGUAUCAAGCGGAUUGGGUUUGUGUGGCUCCAAUAGCUUAAGGGAUUUUCAAGCGGGUAAAGUUUUCGUGGGUUCAAGUUAAAGGUAAUGGUAGUUUUAAGUGGGUUGGGUUUCCGUGGGUUCAAGUUAAAGGUAAUGGUAGUUUUAAGUGGGUUGGGUUUCCAUGGGUUCAAGUUAAAGGUAAUGGUAGUUUUAAGUGGGUUGGGUUUCCAUGGGUUCAAGUUAAAGGUAAUGGUAGUUUUAAGUGGGUUGGGUUUCCAUGGGUUCAAGUUAAAGGUAAUGGUAGUUUUAAGUGGGUUGGGUUUCCAUGGGUUCAAGUUAAAGGUAAUGGUAGUUUUAAGUGGGUUGGGUUUCCAUGGGUUCAAGUUAAAGGUAAUGGUAGUUUUAAGUGGGUUGGGUUUCCAUGUGUUCGAGACAGCUAAUGGUACUUUCAAGCGGGCAGGACACUUAGGGUCGUAUUUUAAAACAUUUCGUCCCCCAAGCUCACAUAUUUGACAAGCCUUUCGUAUGAGUUUCGGGCAUUUCCAGUAGUAGUUUCAUGACCCUGGUGGUAGUUUGACCCUUUAUCUGUACCGUGAAGCUAAAAACACACUCAUGAGAACCCGAUUGAUCCCCUCUUUGACCUUUAGAAAUACCUGAUGUGAGAAGCGAAAGUGUCUUAUAAUAUCGGCCUUAGUUUUGUAUAUAGCUCAUGGUAGUUUCAGAAGGUAAGGUCUUAUUUUCAUAGGUUCAAGGUAUUGCUAAUUGUAGUUUCGUGCAGUUGGGUUUCCGUGGGUUAAUGGUAGUUUAAAGCGAGUCCGAGUUCUGUGGGUGGCGGGUGAAAUGUGUUCGAGUUCUAGCUGAUGGCAGUCUUGAGCGGGUCGGGUUUUCAUGGGUGCAAGUUAAAGCCCAUGGCAGUUUGAGGCGGGUCAGGAGUCGUGGGUUCAAGUUGGUAAUGGUACUUUUAAGCGGGUAAGGAGUUCGUGGCCUCGUGUUCUAUAGCUAAUGGCAGUCUUGAGCGGGUCGGGUUAUCAUGGGUUAAAGUUAAAGGCACUGUCAGCGGGUUCCAGAAUGGGUUCAGGAGGUGGGGGGGUGUCGCAGGUGGUGUAGCGGU